CGGAUCGGCGCUUGGCGUCCCCCCCCUCGCUCGGGGAGCGGGUUGCUGGCCUCCUAUGUUCCUAACGGUCCUCGUCCGCGAGGGCGGGGAAUCAACCGCUAGGAUCGUUUACUUUGAGGAAAUUAGAGUGUUCAAAGCAGGCGUAACUCGCCUCCGAAUACGUUAGCAUGGGAUAAUGGAAUACGACUUCGGUCUUGUUUCGUUGGUUUCGCUUGGCUGAAGUAAUGAUUGAUAGGGACAGUUGGGGGCAUUAGUAUUUAGUUGUCAGAGGUGAAAUUCUAGGAUUUACUAAAGACUGACCAAUGCGAAAGCAUUUGCCAAGGAUGUUUUCAUUAAUCAAGAACGAAAGUAGGGGGAUCGAAGACGAUCAGAUACCGUCGUAGUCUCUACCGUAAACUAUGCCGACCAGGGAUCCGGAGAGUUUGCAUGGAUGACUCCCCGGGCACCUUGUGAGAAAUCAUAAGUGUUUGGGUUUUGGGGGGAGUAUGGUCGCAAGGCUGAAACUUAAAGGAAUUGACGGAAGGGCACCACCAGGAGUGGAACCUGCGGCUUAAUUUGACUCAACACGGGGAAACUUACGAGGUCAGGACACUGUGAGGAUUGACA
rnacentral:rRNA from 1 species